CCUACGGGCGGCAGCAGUGAGGAAUAUUGGUCAAUGGCCUUAAGGCUGAACCAGCCAAGUCGCGUGAGGGAAGAAUGACCUAUGGGUUGUAAACUUCUUUUAUAGGGGAGUAAAGGUAUCCACGUGUGGCUAUUUUCAUAUUCCCUAUGAAUAAGCAUCGGCUAACUCCGUUCCAGCAGCCGCGGUAAUACGGAGGAUGCGAGCGUUAUCCGGGUUUAUUGGGUUUAAAGGGUGAGUAGGUUGUUUUUUAAGUCAGCGGGUAAAGUGUGGGGCUCAACCAUCAAAUUGCCGUUGAAACUGGAAGACUUGAGUGUGCUUGAGGUAGGCGGAAUGCGUGGUGUAGCGGUGAAAUGCAUAGAUAUCACGCAGAACUCCGAUUGCGAAGGCAGCUUACUAAGCCACAACUGACACUGAAGCACGAAAGCGUGGGGAUCGAACAGGAUUAGAUACCCCAGUAGUC
rnacentral:rRNA from 1 species